rnacentral:rRNA from 1 species
GAUGAACGCUGGCGGCGUGCCUAAUACAUGCAAGUCGAGCGAACGGACGAGAAGCUUGCUUUUCUGAUGUUAGCGGCGGACGGGUGAGUAACACGUGGAUAACCUACCUAUAAGACUGGGAUAACUUCGGGAAACCGGAGCUAAUACCGGAUAAUAUUUUGAACCGCAUGGUUCAAAAGUGAAAGACGGUCUUGCUGUCACUUAUAGAUGGAUCCGCGCUGCAUUAGCUAGUUGGUACGGUAACGGCUUACCAAGGCAACGAUGCAUAGCCGAGCUGAGAGGGGGAGCCGCCACGCUGGGACGGAGACACGGACCAGGCUCGUACGGGAGGCAGCAGUAGGGAAUCUUGCACCAUGGGCGAAUGCCUCACGGUGCAACGCCGCGUGAGUGAUGAACGUCUUCGGAGCGUAAAACUCUGUUAGUAGGGAAGAAGAUAUGGGUAAGGAACUGACGACAGCUUGACGGAAGCUAAUCAGAAAGCCACGGCUAACUGCG